AUCAUGGAAAAGAGUCAUAAAAUUAUAAGACGUGUAUUACGGCUGUAAUUUAAAAGUAAAAUGGGACUUAGGCGUAUAACAAGGUAAAAUGCGUUGCAGGAUUGAUGUUGUUUUCGCCACUACAGCGUCAAUCAUAGUACUGUCCAUUACAAACGGCGGGUGCGUUUCUGAUGGUGAUGGCUCCCUCGAGGGGAUUCCCGGGGGAAAUUUAGGAAUGGACGAUAAAUUGCAGUCGACCCCAAGGACAGGAAUAGGUAGAAGAAUAAUGCGACCGCUUGUAGAGUAUGGCCCAGGGUUUUCCAAGAUGGACGGAAAGCCUUUCGAUAAGAAACAAGCAGUUGACAACCUUAAGAAACUUUUCUUAUUAAAGUGGAAAUUAUAUGGAAAACCAACAACGAUAGCCCCAAACGAAAAAACUACAACAACAGAACCGUCCACGACGACAAGAACACUGACAACAACAAGCAAACCGUCAACAACAACAAAAAAACCGACUACGACGACAAGAAAGCAGUCGACAACAACAAAAAAACCAACGACAACAAGCAAACCGUCGACAGCAACGACAAAAAACCCAACAACAGUAACAAAAAAACCGUCUACGGCGACAAAAAAACCGUCAACAACGACUAAAAAACCGACGACAGCAAGCAAACCAUCGACAACAAC